rnacentral:lncRNA from 1 species
AAUCUUUUCCAACAUCAGGAACUUUUCCAAUGAGUCCUGUCUUCUCUUUAUGAGGUCAAAGUAUUUAAGCUUCAAUUUCUGUGUUUGACCUUUCGGUGAACAGUCUUACUCUAGUUUUAACCUAUUAAACUUUGCAACACCCUCUAUCAUUCUUUCUAAUUUACAAAGGGAUUUUCCAUACAGUCCUUAAAUUCUCUUUGAAAGGUAAUUUUGUAGUUGUGUGCUUUCCCUCCACUAACACACACUGUAAUCUCUUCAUGGAUUACUAGUGGCCAUAAGUGAAAAUAUCAGCUGGUGGACAUCCUCAUGGCUAUCCCACUUUGUGCUUAUUGAGAUUGGUAUUUGCCUUAUGGAUGCAUACUUUGUUAUUGGAAGUCUUGCUUAUCUCCUUUCCCAAAAUCCUGGGCUGCCUCCUAGAACCUUAGAAUUGACUCUAGGUUCUUGAAAAUAUUACCAGCAGAAAGAGAGAUCAGAUAGUUUAAUCAAGGUAAAAAAAUUGAGUCAAUCUGGUCCCAAAAUGCGUGGACUUUUUUGGACUUCAGAAUAAGGGAGCCACCGCUGGCUAUAUUUUGGGCUAAGUACUUUUUCUCUUAUUAAAAGCCUUAUUUUGUAGGUUUUAGUGUUAUGGACUCUGGUAGAGAUUCAUUGGGUGAACUUUCAUGAAGAAUAUGUAGUAUCAUUUGGGUUAUGUGUGUAUCUGUCUAUGCAAGUAUGUAUGUGUGUGUGUGUGUGUGUGUGUGUGUGUGUGUGUGAGAGAGAGAGAGAGAGAGAGAGAGAGAGAGAGAGAGAGAGAGAGAACCUGCCUACAUGGACACAUGGACAUGGACAUCCAUUGUGCUUGGACAUGACCUCUUGAUAUGUAUCCUGAAUUUAUUAAGUGAUCUUCAGGACAUCCUGGUAGCAGAAGGAGGAGGAAGUCUUUCCUUGACAGGCUGCUUCCUGGACUUGGUGAAUAAUACAGUAAGCUCUUGACUAUUAAUGGGUGAGGACUCUUUGGGUAAGGUCUGUUAAUUGUCUUUGCAUCAUAUUAGCUCAGUAAAAUGGAAGAGGCAAAGCCUUUUUAUAGAGAAGAGUCAGAAUGUUUGAUUGGUUUCUUUCCUCUGAUGUUAGGGGAACCGAGGUACUGAGUUAUAAGGAAUAUGGAAGUUUCUAUCAUAGAGUAUUCCAGAAAAAGGGUAGGACAGUAAGGAGGAGAUAUAACAAAGGAAGGCAUAGCUUGUAGUAGGAAAGACUAGGCUUGGAAAAACUACAAUUUUUUUCUGGACAGC